rnacentral:rRNA from 1 species
AUUGAACGCUGGCGGCAUGCUUUACACAUGCAAGUCGAACGGUAACAGGCCUUCGGGUGCUGACGAGUGGCGAACGGGUGAGUAAUGCAUCGGAACGUGCCCAAUCGUGGGGGAUAACGUAGCGAAAGUUACGCUAAUACCGCAUAAGCCCUGAGGGGGAAAGUGGGGGACCGCAAGGCCUCACGCGAAUGGAGCGGCCGAUGUCAGAUUAGCUAGUUGGUGGGGUAAAGGCCCACCAAGGCGACGAUCUGUAGCGGGUCUGAGAGGAUGAUCCGCCACACUGGAACUGAGACACGGUCCAGACUCCUACGGGAGGCAGCAGUGGGGAAUUUUGGACAAUGGGGGCAACCCUGAUCCAGCCAUGCCGCGUGAGUGAAGAAGGCC